CGGAGGGUGCAAGCGUUAUCCGGAUUUACUGGGUUUAAAGGGUGUGUAGGCGGAUUUUUAAGUCAGCGGUGAAAUCUCCGGGCUCAACCCGGAAACUGCCAUUGAUACUAUUAGUCUUGAAUAUUGUUGAGGUAGGCGGAACGGGUCAUGUAGCGGUGAAAUGCAUAGAUAUGACCCGGAACACCGAUUGCGAAGGCAGCCUACUAAGCAAUUAUUGACGCUGAGGCACGAAAGCGUGGGGAUCAAACAGGAUUAGAUACCCUGGUAGUCCACGCCCUAAACGAUGAUUACUCGACGUUGGCGAUACACUGAUCAGCGUCCAAGCGAAAGCAUUAAGUAAUCCACCUGGGAAGUACGUUCGCAAGAAUG
rnacentral:rRNA from 1 species